rnacentral:rRNA from 1 species
UACGUAGGGGGCAAGCGUUGUCCGGAAUCAUUGGGCGUAAAGCGCGUGUAGGCGGUCCGGUAAGUCCGCUGUGAAAGUCCAGGGCUCAACCCUGGGAUGCCGGUGGAUACUGUCGGGCUAGAGUACGGAAGAGGCGAGUGGAAUUCCCGGUGUAGCGGUGAAAUGCGCAGAUAUCGGGAGGAACACCUAUUGCGAAGGCAGCUCGCUGGGACGUCACUGACGCUGAGAAGCGAAAGCAUGGGGAGCGAACAGG